GAUGAACGCUGGCGGCGUGCCUAAUACAUGCAAGUCGAGCGAACAGACGAGGAGCUUGCUCCUUCGACGUUAGCGGCGGACGGGUGAGUAACACGUAGGUAACCUACCUAUAAGACUGGGAUAACUUCGGGAAACCGGAGCUAAUACCGGAUAAUAUUUUGAACCGCAUGGUUCGAUAGUGAAAGACGGCUUUGCUAUCACUUAUAGAUGGACCUGCGCCGUAUUAGCUAGUUGGUAAGGUAACGGCUUACCAAGGCAACGAUACGUAGCCGACCUGAGAGGGUGAUCGGCCACACUGGAACUGAGACACGGUCCAGACUCCUACGGGAGGCAGCAGUAGGGAAUCUUCCGCAAUGGGCGAAAGCCUGACGGAGCAACGCCGCGUGAGUGAUGAAGGUCUUCGGAUCGUAAAACUCUGUUAUUAGGGAAGAACAAACGUGGAAGUAACUGUGCACGUCUUGACGGUACCUAAUCAGAAAGCCACGGCUAACUACGUG
rnacentral:rRNA from 1 species